AAUAAUAUAAUUUUAUUUGAUUAAGGAUUUAAUAAAUUUAAUGAAAAUGUUUAGAUUGGGGAUUUAUUAGGUGAAAUUUUAAAUAUUCAAAAAAAAUUUAUUUAGGGGAAUGAAUUAAGAAAUUAUAAAAUAAACUAGGAUUAGAUACCCUAUUAUUAAUAAUGUAAAUUAAUCCAGAUUAGUAAAAGUUAUGGUCUUGAAAAUUAAAAAAUUUGGCGGUAUUUUAGUCUAUUCAGAGGAAUCUGUCUUGUAAUUGAUAGUCCACGUUUAAGAAUACUUUUUUUAAAAGUUUAUAUAUCGUCGUGUAGAAUAUUUUUAAAGGAUGUAAAUAUUCAUAAUUUAUUUUAUAAAAUAAAUCAGAUCAAGGUAUAGCUUAUAAAGAAGAUUAGAUGGAUUACAUUUAAAAUAUUAUUGAAUAAUUAGUUGAAAAUUAAUUUGAAAUUGGAUUUGAAAGUAAUUUUUUUAUAAUAAAAGAAUGAUUUUAGCUCUAAAAUAUGCACAUAUCGCCCGUCACUUUCGUAUAAGAUGAAAUAAGUCGUAACAAAGUAGAUUUACUGGAAAGUGUAUCUAGAAAGAUCAAAUUGUAGCUUUAUUAAGCAUUUUAUUUACAUUAAAAAGAUUAUUGUUUAUUCAAUUAAUUUGAUUAAAAAUAAUUAUUAAUUUUAAUGGUUUAUUUUAGUUGAGAAAAAUAAUUUAAUUUUUAGUAAAAUUAUGAAAAAAAGAAUGUUAUGAUAGGAAAUUAGUAUUGUGAAAGAAUUUAUUUAAAAAUAAAUAAGAAAUAAAAAUUUUU
rnacentral:rRNA from 1 species